GCUUCGUUGGCUCAGUUGGUAGAGCGUAGGUCUCAUAAUCCUAAGGUCGCAAGUUCGAGCCUUGCACGGAGCA
rnacentral:tRNA from 1 species